rnacentral:rRNA from 1 species
AUACGUAGGGGGCGAGCGUUGUCCGGAUUUAUUGGGCGUAAAGGGUGCGUAGGCGGCCUUGUAAGUCAGAUGUGAAAUCUCACGGCUUAACCGUGGUAAGCAUUUGAAACUGUGAGGCUUGAGUACAGGAGAGGAGAGUGGAAUUCCUAGUGUAGCGGUGAAGUGCGUAGAUAUUAGGAGGAAUACCAGUGGCGAAGGCGACUCUCUGGACUGUAACUGACGCUGAGGCACGAAAGCGUGGGGAGCAAACAGGAUUAGAUACCCUGGUAGUCCACGCCGUAAACGAUGAGUGCUAGGUGUCGGGGGUCAAACCUCGGUGCCGCAGUUAACACAUUAAGCACUCCGCCUGGGGAGUACGGUGGCAACACUGAAACUCAAAGGAAUUGACGGGG